rnacentral:rRNA from 1 species
GCAAACGGUGGAUGCCUUGGCAUCUGGAGCCGAAGAAGGACGUAUAAAUCUGCGAUAAGCCUCGGGGAGCUGAUAAUAGAGCUUUGAUCCGAGGAUCUCCGAAUGGGGAAACCCCGCCAGGCCCUUUGGGUGACCUGGUGACUCCCGCCUGAAUAUAUAGGGCGGGUAGAGGGAACGUGGGGAAGUGAAACAUCUCAGUACCCACAGGAAGAGAAAGCAAAAGCGAUUCCGUUAGUAGUGGCGAGCGAAACCGGAAGAGGCCAAACCGAUCAUGUGUGAUAUCCGGUAGGAGUUGCAUGGUCGGGGUUGCGGGACUUUCCGUACAGUUCUACCGAGCUGUGAGGGCAAUGAGCGCGAUAUAGACGAAUGGUCUUGAAAGGCCAGUCAUAGAGGGUGCGAACCCCGUAGUCGAAAUGUCGUCGCCUGUCCGGAGAGUAUCCCAAGUAGCACGGGGCCCGAGAAAUCCCGUGUGAAUCUGUCAGGACCACCUGAUAAGCCUAAAUACUCCCAGAUGACCGAUAGCGGACAAGUACCGUGAGGGAAAGGUGAAAAGUACCCCGGGAGGGGAGUGAAAUAGUACCUGAAACCGUUUGCUUACAAACCGUUGGAGCGCCCUUGUUGGUGUGACAGCGUGCCUUUUGAAGAAUGAGCCUGCGAGUUAGUGAUAUGUGGCGAGGUUAACCCGUGAGGGGCAGCCGUAGCGAAAGCGAGUCUUAAUAGGGCGUAUGAGUCGCAUGUUCUAGACCCGAAGCGAAGUGAUCUAUCCAUGGCCAGGUUGAAGCGACGGUAAGACGUCGUGGAGGACCGAACCCACUUCAGUUGAAAAUGGAGGGGAUGAGCUGUGGAUAGGGGUGAAAGGCCAAUCAAACUUCGUGAUAGCUGGUUCUCUCCGAAAUGCAUUUAGGUGCAGCGUUGCGUGUUUCUUGCCGGAGGUAGAGCUACUGGAUGGACGAUGGGCCCCAAAAGGUUACUGACUUCAGCCAAACUCCGAAUGCCGGUAAGUGAGAGCGCAGCAGUGAGACGGUGGGGGAUAAGCUUCAUCGUCGAGAGGGAAACAACCCAGACCACCAUCUAAGGUCCCUAAGCGCGUGCUAAGUGGGAAAGGAUGUGGAGUUGCAUAGACAACCAGGAGGUUGGCUUAGAAGCAGCCACCCUUGAAAGAGUGCGUAAUAGCUCACUGGUCAAGUGAUUCCGCGCCGACAAUGUAACGGGGCUCAAGCACGCCACCGAAGUUGUGGCAUUUAUAUUAUAGGCAGGCCUUCGUGGUCCAGCCGUAUGGAUGGGUAGGAGAGCGUCGUGUGGCCAGCGAAGCGGCGGUGUGAACCAGCCGUGGAGGCCACACGAGUGAGAAUGCAGGCAUGAGUAGCGAAAGACGGGUGAGAAACCCGUCCUCCGAAAGACCAAGGGUUCCAGGGCCAGGCUAAUCCGCCCUGGGUAAGUCGGGACCUAAGGCGAGGCCGACAGGCGUAGUCGAUGGACAACGGGUUGAUAUUCCCGUACCGAUGAAGAACCGCCCAAGACAAUCCAGUAAUGCUAAGUGUCUGAAUCCUUGAU